UGGGGGCUCGUCUAAGUGGCAGGACAGCGGACUUUGGAUCCGUAUGUGGUGGUUCGAGUCCACCGCCCCCAG
rnacentral:tRNA from 1 species